rnacentral:rRNA from 1 species
GGAAUAUUGGACAAUGGGCGAAAGCCUGAUCCAGCCAUGCCGCGUGUGUGAAGAAGGUCUUCGGAUUGUAAAGCACUUUAAGUUGGGAGGAAGGGCAGUUACCUAAUACGUGAUUGUUUUGACGUUACCGACAGAAUAAGCACCGGCUAACUCUGUGCCAGCAGCCGCGGUAAUACAGAGGGUGCAAGCGUUAAUCGGAAUUACUGGGCGUAAAGCGCGCGUAGGUGGUUUGUUAAGUUGGAUGUGAAAUCCCCGGGCUCAACCUGGGAACUGCAUUCAAAACUGACUGACUAGAGUAUGGUAGAGGGUGGUGGAAUUUCCUGUGUAGCGGUGAAAUGCGUAGAUAUAGGAAGGAACACCAGUGGCGAAGGCGACCACCUGGACUAAUACUGACACUGAGGUGCGAAAGCGUGGGGAGCAAACAGGAUUAGAUACCCCUG